rnacentral:lncRNA from 1 species
GAACAUAAUAACAAAAGGUGUGGUUUUUGUAUCAGUCCAAAGUCUGUCAAUGUCAGGCUGUUUCUGAUAGAACAUAAUAACAAAAGGAGUUUUUUGUAUCAGUCCAAAGUCUGUCAAUGUCAGACCGUUUCUGAUAGAACAUAAUAACAAAAGGUGUGGUUUUUGUAUCAGUCCAAAGUCUGUCAAUGUCAGGCUGUUUCUGAUAGAACAUAAUAACAAAAGGAGUUUUUUGUAUCAGUCCAAAGUCUGUCAAUGUCAGGCUGUUUCUGAUAGAACAUAAUAACAAAAGGAGUUUUUUGUAUCAGUCCAAAGUCUGUCAAUGUCAGACCGUUUCUGAUAGAACAUAAUAACAAAAGGUGUGAUUUUUGUAUCAGUCCAAAGUCUGUCAAUGUCAGGCUGUUUCUGAUAGAACAUAAUAACAAAAGGAGUUUUUUGUAUCAGUCCAAAGUCUGUCAAUGUCAGACCGUUUCUGAUAGAACAUAAUAACAAAAGGUGUGAUUUUUGUAUCAGUCCAAAGUCCAUUGAUGCCGUCCUAGUCUUGUUGUCACCCUGGUAACCCUGUGUGUAUAUAUACAUGUAUAUGUGUUUAAUAUCUUUGCCAUUUACAUAGAAAUUCUUGCCAAUGAUCUAUUUCAUGUUGUAUUUUGCUGUUUUAGUAUAUACAAAUAUUGAUAUUGAUGUAAACAUAACUGCUAGUCAGAAAUUUGUUUUUGUUGUUUUAUGCAUUUAUUAUAAAUACGGUAAUAAUUAACAUGUAGCAUUGAUUAAAGAUUAAAAACAUGUCAUAGUGCUAUAUUUCAAUGUCAGUGGGACCAAAAUUUUAUUAUUUAGGGAGAAAGGGUCAUUGAUUACUUUUCUCUCUUAAUUUUGUUUAAGCUUUCUUGUACUGUAUGUCAGUUAUGUUACUGUUAACAUUCUUAUUUUAGUGGUAUAAUCUUAUUUCAGCUCUAUUUCGCAUUUUAAUUAUUGAACUAAAUUAUGAAUGCGGCAAUUGAAGUUCUUGUAUAUAGGUCUCUGUUGCAUAUUUCGGGGUGCGCCAAUUCAUCAAUGCAUUAAUCUAUUAAAAAAGGAUAAUGUCUGCUAAAAUUUCAGUGGGCUAAAUUCAGUAUGUGUACAGUAAUCAGUCUCCAAUCAGAACUUCUGUACUAGAAACUAUUGGAUGGGUCCCGUUCAUCCAUCAAACAUUCAUUUUCGCAGACUUUUUAAAAAAUAAAUUUCUACAGGUCUGUAAAAUACAAUGUUAUAAUGUGUGUUUUGGAAUAUUACAAUGUGCUAUCAGAAAAAAUCGUAAUCAGUGGAGAAUUGUUUCUGUUUUAGCACACAGCUGAAUUCUGAUUGGUCAGUAUACUAUAAAGAAAACUGAUUUCCACAAAAUUUUGCCAUGAUUAUGAUUAUAUAAUUAUGUUAAGUCGUUUUUGUGAAAUAUUUUUACCAUGUUUAUAAGUCCAAUAAUUGUUUUUGUCACGUUACUCCAGUGGGGAAAUGAAAAGCUAGUCAACAUGUUUCAGUCACAUGGAGUGUUUAUCACUUUCAAACACAAAUUAAUAAUAUGUACUUAUUCAUUUAUGAAUCAAGUUGCAUCAGAUAUUUCGUUCAGUUUAGAUAGAUUGAAUGAUAACAAUAAAGGCCUUAAUUCGCAGUUGGUGUCCAUCUCUGAAAUGUGUGACAGAUAUAGUUAUAAAUAUUUCAUAUGAUUCAGAUUCAUAUUUGACCCAUUGAUGUGAUGAAGGUAUCAAAUUCAUCAUCACAUCUGACUUAAUGUGAGAAUAAGAUAAUGAACAUGUUAUUAUUAUUUCUCAAAUAGGGGGCGAGCUGUAAUGCAGAGCAUAUGGCUCAUCACCUGUGAGCUGUGAGUUGUAACUACAUACUUAUUUACUUUAACACUGUUUUGAAAUAUUUUUUGGUUCCACUUCCAUUUCUAAAUUUUCUUCCCAAAGAGAAUUUCAUUUGAAGGCUUGAUAUGAUUAAGAAAUUAUGUAUUUAUGAAACAUUGGUUGUUUGAUAACAAAGCAAUGCUGCAGAUGCUGUUUUGAAUAUUCAUCCCUUCAACAUUCUUUCUUCCAUUGUUUACCAUUCAUUCCUAAAUGAUAUUUUUAUCAAUUCUAGUCGUGUUUUGUUUUUUGUACCACAUAAAUAUACUUAAAUAUGUUGAGACCGAACUUUCAGGUGUGUAGCUGGACUGUAAGCCAUAUGCAUGCACACUUCAGCCAUCUUUGGAGGCUAAUAAGGGACGGAGACAUUUUGAAACAUAGAAGAGAUGUGGUGCUAUCCGGUGGCAUUUGAGACCAAUAUUUGAGUGUUAAUCAUCAGUUUGGACCACACACAAAAAACACAAACUAAAAAGUACAUGCGAGGAUUUUUAAUGUUCCUGCUACAUCUUAUUUGCUUACAACGGCAGCUAUAGGCCUGCCAAUUUGAAGUAAUUAUACACAACUAUAUCCAAUUAUACACAACUAUGUCCAAAUAUAUACACAUUUUGCUAUUCAUUCUAGUCUUUUUUUUUCACUUUAUUUUUAACUUAAGAGUAUGUCAGCAGUAUCUCUAGUCAUAUUAGUAACACUUACCAAAAUUUCAUGAGUUUUGAGAUUUAACUUUAUUUUUAAAACAAAGGGAAAAUUUCAUUCCAUUGAAAAAACUAAAUUUCACUAUUUUAUUAGGUAUUGUUCAUUCCUAGGCUGAUUUAGAAAUAUCCUUUAAUACUUAAUUCAGGGCAUUCUAAUAAGAGAGGCAUAGGCCAAGAUGGCCAGGAUAUGGUUCCCUGAUUGACUACGUUGGAUUUCUUCAGGUACUCCAGUUUCCUUCCACAUAAAGACCCACCUGUGUGAUAACAUCCAGGCCAACAACGGUGACUAAUAUAAGUUGAUAUAACUUGUUUCAUAAUUGUUGUAAAAUUAAUGAAGUUUAUCACCUAUAAGAGAUACAUAGUUUUUGUACUGGUAUUCAUAGCUAUACUGUUAAUAUUUGUAAGAUACCGCUAUCACAACAAUUAAUAUAAAUAUAAAUCUGUAUUUAUAUUAAAAGUAUGAAACAAAUUUGUCCAACUUAUAUUUAUCACUAUUAUUGGCCUGGAUGGAAGUAACAGUGCAGACGAUCUGAAUGUGGGAGGAAACUUGAGAAUCCAUGUGAUCAAGGGAAUCCAUGUGAUCAAGAGAAUCCAUGUGAUCAAGUUGGUGACCCAUUACACUUUCACAUCCAAGUGGAGAAUACGAGAGCACUUAACACCAUGCCAUCCAAUCUGGGCUAACAAUUUGAUGAAAACCAUUCCUAACUUACUUUGUUUUAUCAUUAUACUGAGCCGACUCCAUAUAUCUUCAUAAGGGCUUUGAUAUGUCCUUAAACCCAAAGAUAUAUCAAAAUAGUAAUGGUGAUCUUUGUCACUUAAACUCAUUCAUCCCUGAAGACACAUUUGAACUGUUCCAAUUCAAAGGUUGUAAUAGUUUAUUAUGAAAUUUCAGAGGUGAAUGAGUUCAAAUGAUCAAAAUACAUUUACUAAUUGUUGGCGUCAAGGUACAUAUGAAAAGUAUCUUGUGUCAACAUUUAUAGCAUACAUGUUAUAAUAAAACAUUAGUGAGUACUUCUAUUUUUGUGGUUCAAUACUUCAAAAAAUAUCUUGUUGAUAAAAGGUUUUAUGGCCUUCUGGUACAUUUGUUAAACAUCAUUCAGUUCAAUUUUUAUAUAUAUAUAGGUAUAUAUAAGAAAAAGGGAUUAAAUGUCCAUGUGAAGGAAGUAAAUAUAGAAAAAAUAAGAUUUAUAUAUAUUAUUUGAUUCCAUUGUAAACACAUUGAUGGCAAAAAAGUAAAUCAUAUUAUACAGACUAUAAGAUAUGGUAAUGAAUCAGUACAUUUUCAUUUUUCAAAACAUUCAGACUAAUUUUAUUGAUUUUAUUGUUAUUUUGACAAAUGAUGAUAUCUAAUUGUAUUUCUCAUUUUCUUCUCAAUUUCAACAAAGCAUGUUUGUAUCAAAACAUUACAACUAAAUUGACUAUAGUUGUUUGCUGUUGAAUUUGUUUGCAAUGUCCAUUACUGUGGAAAACAACUUUUGAAUAGUAUUGUUUAAGAUUUUGAUUUAUGAGUAAUAAGUGAUUUUCAUAUGAAAUAAAAAAAAAUACAUGUG